rnacentral:rRNA from 1 species
UACGUAGGGUGCGAGCGUUAAUCGGAAUUACUGGGCGUAAAGCGUGCGCAGGCGGUCGUUGUGUCGGCGGUGAAAGCCCCGGGCUCAACCUGGGAAUGGCCGUUGAAACUGGCGAACUGGAGUGUGGCAGAGGGGGGGUGGAAUUCCGCGUGUAGCAGUGAAAUGCGUAGAUAUCAGGAGGAAUACCGAUGGCGAAGGCAAUCCCCUGGGCCUGCACUGACGCUCAUGCACGAAAGCGUGGGGAGCAAACAGG